rnacentral:rRNA from 1 species
GAUGAACGCUGGCGGCGUGCCUAAUACAUGCAAGUCGAGCGAACAGAUGAGGAGCUUGCUCCUCUGACGUUAGCGGCGGACGGGUGAGUAACACGUGGAUAACCUACCUAUAAGACUGGGAUAACUUCGGGAAACCGGAGCUAAUACCGGAUAAUAUAUUGAACCGCAUGGUUCAAUAGUGAAAGACGGUUUUGCUGUCACUUAUAGAUGGAUCCGCGCCGCAUCAGCUAGUUGGUAAGGUAACGGCUUACCAAGGCAACGAUGCGUAGCCGACCUGAGAGGGUGAUCGGCCACACUGGAACUGAGACACGGUCCAGACUCCUACGGGAGGCAGCAGUAGGGAAUCUUCCGCAAUGGGCGAAAGCCUGACGGAGCAACGCCGCGUGAGUGAUGAAGGUCUUCGGACCGUAAAACUCUGUUAUUAGGGAAGAACAAAUGUGUAAGUAACUAUGCACGUCUUGACGGUACCUAAUCAGAAAGCCACGGCUAACUACGUG